AUUGAACGCUGGCGGCAGGCCUAACACAUGCAAGUCGGGCGAGCGGGGGACGGGAGAGUAAUGUAUGGGGAUGUGCGUGAUGGCGGGGGAUAACUACUGGAAACGAUAGCUACUACCGCAUACCAUCAGCUGAACCGAUAUGGCAUUAGCUAGUGGGUAAGGUAACGGCUUACCUAGGCGACGAUCCCUAGCUGGUCUGAGAGGAUGAUCAGCCACACUGGAACUGAGACACGAUCCAGACUCCUACGGGAGGCAGCAGUGGGGAAUAUUGGACAAUGGGCGCAAGCCUGAUGCAGCCAUGCCGCGUGUAUGAAGAAGGCCUUCGGGUUGUAAAGUACUUUAAGUUGGGAGGCGUUACCGACAGAAGAAGCACCGGCUAACUCCGUGCCAGCAGCCGCGGUAAUUC
rnacentral:rRNA from 1 species